GCUGGUGUAGCUCAACUGGUAGAGCACCUCACUUGUAAUGAGGAUGUUGGGGGUUCAAGUCCUCUCACCAGCU
rnacentral:tRNA from 1 species